CUAGGUUGCGGGUAGGCAUAAGGCCACCAGCCACCACGUAGAACCAUACUACCUAUCAAUCAUCAAUAAAUUCUGAAAAUUUUGGCAUGAUGCAUGCACAAAAUGAUCACCUUUCUUAUAUUGAUCUAUCAGGAUUAUCUCAAUACAUACAACAACAUUACCUGUCAGAGCAGCAUUCACAUAAUCUGUCACAUACUAAACCUGGACAAUAUAUAGCAAUACAUUAUCACAGGCACACACUGAUCUGCAUAUAUAUAUAUAUAUAUAUAUACCAGCUUCCC
rnacentral:lncRNA from 1 species